rnacentral:rRNA from 1 species
CCUACGGGUGGCAGCAGUGGGGGAUAUUGCACAAUGGGGGGAACCCUGAUGCAGCGACGCCGCGUUGGUGAAGAAGCGCCUCGGCGCGUAAAGCCCUGUCAGCAGGGAAGAAAAUGACGGUACCUGAAGAAGAAGCCCCGGCUAACUCCGUGCCAGCAGCCGCGGUAAUACGUAGGGGGCAAGCGUUAUCCGGAUUUACUGGGGGUCAAGGGGGCGCCGACGGCGCUGCAAGCCAGGAGUGAAAGCCCGGGGCCCAACCCCGGGACUGCUCUUGGAACUGGGUGGCUGGAGUGCAGGAGGGGCAGGCGGAAGUCCUGGUGUAGCGGUGAAAUGCGUAGAUAGCAGGAGGAACACCGGUGGCGAAGGAGGCCUGAUGGACUGAAAAUGACGUUGAGGCCCGAAAGCGUGGGGAGCAAACAGGAGUAGAUACCCCUGUAGUC